GACGAACGCUGGCGGCGUGCUUAACACAUGCAAGUCGAACGGAAAGGCCCUGCUUGCAGGGUACUCGAGUGGCGAACGGGUGAGUAACACGUGGGUGAUCUGCCCUGCACUUCGGGAUAAGCUUGGGAAACUGGGUCUAAUACCGGAUAGGACCGCACGUUAGUGUGUGUGGUGGAAAGUUUUUUCGGUGUAGGAUGAGCUCGCGGCCUAUCAGCUUGUUGGUGGGGUAAUGGCCUACCAAGGCGGCGACGGGUAGCCGGCCUGAGAGGGUGUACGGCCACAUUGGGACUGAGAUACGGCCCAGACUCCUACGGGAGGCAGCAGUGGGGAAUAUUGCACAAUGGGCGCAAGCCUGAUGCAGCGACGCCGCGUGGGGGAUGAAGGCCUUCGGGUUGUAAACUCCUUUCGCUAGGGACGAAGCUUUUUGUGACGGUACCUAGAUAAGAAGCACCGGCUAACUACGUG
rnacentral:rRNA from 1 species